rnacentral:rRNA from 1 species
AGAGUUUGAUCAUGGCUCAGGACGAACGCUGGCGGCGUGCUUAAUACAUGCAAGUCGAACGGAAGCAAGGGCUUCGGCCUUUGCUUUAGUGGCGAACGGGUGAGUAACGCGUGAAUAACCUGACUCAAAGAGGGGGAUAACAACCGGAAACAGUUGCUAAUACCGCAUAAGACCACAAUGUCGCAUGACGAAGGGGUCAAAGAUUUAUCGCUUUGAGAGGGGUUCGCGUCCCAUUAGGUAGUUGGAGGGGUAACGGCCCACCAAGCCAACGAUGGGUAGCCGAGCUGAGAGGCUGAUCGGCCACACUGGAACUGAGACACGGUCCAGACUCCUACGGGAGGCAGCAGUAGGGAAUAUUGGGCAAUGGGCGCAAGCCUGACCCAGCAACGCCGCGUGAGGGAAGAAGGUUUUCGGAUUGUAAACCUCUGUCCUAUGUGACGAAGGAAGUGACGGUAGCAUAGGAGGAAGCCCCGGCUAACUACGUGCCAGCAGCCGCGGUAAUACGUAGGGGGCGAGCGUUGUCCGGAAUUACUGGGCGUAAAGGGUGCGUAGGCGGUUUUGUAAGUUGGAUGUGAAAUACCCGGGCUUAACUUGGGGGCUGCAUCCAAUACUGCAGGACUUGAGUGCAGGAGAGGAAAGCGGAAUUCCUAGUGUAGCGGUGAAAUGCGUAGAUAUUAGGAGGAACACCGGUGGCGAAGGCGGCUCUCUGGUCUGCAACUGACGCUGAGGCUCGAAAGCAUGGGUAGCGAACAGGAUUAGAUACCCUGGUAGUCC